rnacentral:rRNA from 1 species
GUGGGGAAUCUUAGACAAUGGGGGAAACCCUGAUCUAGUCAUGCCGCGUGAGCGAUGAAGGCCUUAGGGUUGUAAAGCUCUUUCAGUGGGGACGAUAAUGACGGUACCCACAGAAGAAGCCCCGGCUAACUUCGUGCCAGCAGCCGCGGUAAUACGAAGGGGGCUAGCGUUGUUCGGAUUUACUGGGCGUAAAGCGCACGUAGGCGGAUCGUUAAGUCGGGGGUGAAAUCCUGGAGCUCAACUCCAGAACUGCCUUCGAUACUGGCGAUCUUGAGUCCGGAAGAGGUGAGUGGAACUCCUAGUGUAGAGGUGGAAUUCGUAGAUAUUAGGAAGAACACCAGUGGCGAAGGCGGCUCACUGGUCCGGUACUGACGCUGAGGUGCGAAAGCGUGGGGAGCAAACAGGAUUAGAUACCCGAGUAGUCC